CGCUGACGACUCCUCCUGGUCUCUGCUCACCCUCCCUAGUCCCCGCCCACGCCAUGACCUCCCUCGGACCUGGGUUCUUGCUCUUCACGUUCCCCCCACGCCCUGCUACCCCCGGGGCCGCCGCCUCCGCCCCUGGCCCUGAUAUUGGCCUGACCCCAUUCCUCUCCCAGACCCACCUCCGAGCCAUUCUCAUCCUCCUGCAGUGAGGCCCUGCCGUCGCCAGGCCUUCCAUUCGCGGUCACCUUGUGGGCGAGGCCCCUGGGCCCCGGGCUGGGGGAGGGGACCACCCCGUUGUGUGACACCUCGUGCUGUUCUGUCCCCAAACCUGUUCCCCCGGCCGUACCUGCCAGAGUGUGCCUACAUUCCCGAUAUCCCACUGGAAAGUGAGCUGCUAGGACGUAGACGGCAUCCGUUCCGUCGCCGAGUGCCGAGUGGGCGGCGACUUGAGGGAAGAAAGACCGGGAGGGAGACGCCGGGCGACCGCGAAGGGAGAAAGCUGAAAUACAGGAUGUAGGUUGUCUAAUGGACCUGGAACGACGGAGGAAGCUGGACUUAGGAUCCAUUUCUGCCUGUCUCCAAAGCCCUGCCUAUACCAAACAUCAGGCCGCAGCCCUGUCUCCGUGAUGACUGCCUUUCUGCACUUCCUGCCAGCCACCCUCAUGUCUGGCCUUCUGGGUUUGUGUUCUUUGUCUGGGGCUGUUGAUGGACCACCAGGAGGUCCCUGGGUAUCCUGUCAGUGUUUCCCAGCCCCUAGAGGAUGACUUGGGAUGGCAUCCCAGGUUCUGACACGUACUUAGAAAAUUCUGCACAGGCAGCAGCAGGUAGACACCGAUGUUGAAAUGAAUUGUUUCUAAGCUGACGGCCAAGAAGGAAUUCUUGAAAAGGUUUUGGUGCAAAAAAAAAAAAAAAAAAAAAAAAAAGGUGGUUUUGUUAAAGCAUGGGAACAGGACCUGUAGGCAGAAAGCACUGCACUGAGAUUAUGAAGACUGACUACUAAAAGGUUUUCCAUCCUGUAGAGGGGAGGGUGACCUUAAGGCUCCAGGAAAUUGAGCCUAUAGGUUCCUGGAGGUCCAUUGUUAAACAUGGUGUUUUUCUUGUAAAUCAUUAAGACAGUUAGAAGCUGGGCGCCUGGGUGGCUCAG